GACUCGGCUGCGCACGCGCACGAGCACGGCGGCUCGCCCCCCCCCCGCGCGCUGCCUCCUUGGGCAGCCAAUCACAUGAGAGAACGGGAGCUGAGGGAGGGGGAGCGGCCGGGCGUUGGAAUAACGGUCGCUUCUGACACCUGCGGGAGAGGCAACCAGUAACGGCCAGGCUGUAGGGAAGGCAGGGGAACUGUGAGAUUCUCCUUAAGGAAAGACUCAUUCUCCUUUCUCCUUUCCAUUCGGCCACCUUGCGAAGUCUGAGGAGAUAACCGUCUAAAAAGGCUAAGAUGAAUGAGAAGAUAAGACAACAGCAAAAACUGCUGACAUCUCGUCUACAGCAUAAACCAGAUGACACAAAUGUGCCACAUAUGGUGAAAGGAAAGUUUCUUAAACACGAAGAAGCUUCUAGAAUUGCAGGAGAUGAACAUCCACUAUUAUUUCCUGCAGAUAUUUCUUCAGAUCUCCGCACAGCUGUUUGCAGAACAAAUACUGCAAGAAAACGCAAAGAAAAAAACAAAGAAGGAGAGUUGGGUUUUGAGUAUGUUUUCUCAAGAAUAUAUAAGGAAAGAACAAAACCAGUUGUUGACCAUGCUAAUGAAGUGGCUGAGUGGAAUGAACAGAAGAUCUUAGAAUAUUCUAAUCUGAAAAGCAAGAGCACAGAGAAGCUUUCUAUUACUCCUCUCUAUGAAGAUUCUAGCUGCACUGUUGAUACUUUUGCUGAAUGUGAAGCUCAAGAAAAAAUUGAAGUGCAAACUGUUUCUUCACAGUUAAGUUGCCACAGAAGAACAUGUAUGAAAUUUCAAGCAGGGUAUAAUCACAAAUUUGUCAGAAAAAAGUCUCCUCCCUCUUAUGACAAAACUGAGCCCAUUAUUGAUGAUGUGAUAUCACAUAUUUUGAGACUGAGAGAUAAACUUGGAUGGGAGACAUCAUUACCAAGAUGUGGAUUCAUAGCUAACGAAGAUGGUAGAACUGAUAAGCAGAAGAUUACAUUGCCGAGUGUUUCAUUACAGAAAGAUGAUGGAGAGUAUGUAUACUGUCUCAUAAGAAGCAGGGAUGAUCCUAAAGCAGCCUAUGAUCCUUAUGACCUUCAAGUGGUUUCGGCAAAUUUGGCUAGACAAUUUAAAGAAUAUUGGACUAUUACAGCUUCAUAUAUUUCCAAGUUUACCUUGGUGUGUGGAGAAGAAAAAAUGGAAAUAAGACCAGUAAUAGAAUGGUUAUAUGAAAGACAACUUUAUUAUGCCUUACGUAGUAUUAAGAUCUGUUUUAACUUCAGAAAAAUUAAAUAUUUUAUUGUGUGGAAAAGCAACGUUAGGAGAUCAAAAGUAAAGAAGAGCAAAAUGGUGAUAUACAAACAACUAUUUUUUGUUGAUGAGAUAUUACAAAACUGCUUGCUUUAUAUCCAAGCAUUAUGUGUGGAUGUAAGUAGCCCUAAGAGAAAUAAAUCUUCAGAGGAUGUAGCUAUUCAUUUUAUAAAGAUAGACACUUCCUACACUUACACUUUGAAUGAAUUUUGUGAGAAACAGUAUCAACAGAGUCAACUAGCACGUUCUCUAAUACAAACUUUUAGAGACAAAGUAAUCAAAGUAAUUCAGAGGUCUUUUUUAAAGGUCGCUGAAAUGAAAGGAGCAGAAAAGCUUUUUCAACAUUUCCCAGAUGAUGUCACAGAAAAGUCAAAACACUUUGAAAUAGCUGAAUGGCGACACAUUAUGGAAAGGUUUUCUAGAUUUCUUCAGCUUGUUGAUAGGAUCUUUCAAGAACUACUUCGCAGAUUGGUUCACAAUGCUAUUGAUCAUCUUUUGGAAAUAUUUAAAGGUUCCAGUAUGAUGGUUGCUCCAAAAGAGAAGACAAAUGAAAAGCUUAUAAGAUUGUUUAAAAAAACAAUUGAGCGAGCAGAUGAUCUUUUACUCAGUGAAAUCCGAUGUCCCUGGAUGCAUCAAAACAAUUAUUUUCAAGAACCUCAGGAAUUACCAUGCCCUCCAAAGGAACAUGAAGUACAACAAGACAUCAUUACCACCAGUGAUAUAGACAAGAUUCUGGAAGAAGUAAAAAGGCUGCUGAAAGGAGAAGCAGAAUAUUCACCAAUAUUUGAAGUAAAUUUAUGUCUGAGAAUUCCUUAUGAAAAGGACUUUUAUAGAACAUAUUAUCCAGAUGAUGAGGAUUUAACAGAAACACCAUUAGAAUCUGUGAAAGAAGAGUUAGAAUAUAGUGAAGAUUUUAAAAAUUUGGCUCAGCAUGACAGCAAAAUCAAAUUUGAACAACAACUAGAAGAUACUAUUACAAAUGCAUCCCAUAGUGGAAAAAAGAAGAAUUAUAAUGUUCUAGAUCAAGAAUCUAUCGCUGAGUCCAGUAAUGGAUCAAUCAUAUAUGAGAGUUCUCCAUUAUUCUCUACAGAUGUAUAUCUAACUCCCAACAGAAGAGAGUUUUCAGUACAGUUGCAAGGAAUUUUGGAUGGACUGGAAAACACUAUUGACCAGAUUGUGCCAUUUUCUCAAGAUCCUCAACUAUCAAUCUUUGUUAAUCAGUCUUUAAAUAAAGGAAUGCAGUCAUAUGAGACUUACAUUGAUCCUGAACCAGAAGAUUAUGUGGCAACAUGGCCACAUUGUGAUCUCAUUCUGGGAACAGAUCCAGAUUAUGAAAAUAAACUAUGGAAGCAAAGAAUACACAUCUUGUAGAAAUCACCAGAACAGCACUUGCAAAGCUGAGCAAAGAACUGACAACGGUGGAUGGAUUUAUUGAGCAUCUGCAAUACCUCCAAGAAAUUUCCACAGAUCUACCCAAAAUAAACACGCAGUAUAAUAGUCUUUCUGAACUCUACUAUAUUGCAAAAGACUAUGACAUUUUUCUUCCAAUUCAGCAACUAGCUCUGUAUCAGACCAUUGUGCGCACACUCCAGAAUCUUCAAUCAACUGUUCUCAUUUGUGAAAAAAUGAAGGAUGAUCAUAUUAUAAAAUUCAGUGAAGGCUUAGGAGAAUAUAUUGACAAUCUGCAGGCUGAAAUGAGGGAAUAUAAGAACAAAGUAAGUUACCAUGAUAGAAAAAAUUAUGCAAUCUUAGUAUUUGCAGAAGAAUGAGACCACAGCAGCUGUGCAUUUAACUUUCUUAUUAAGAAAUGAGGUUUUUUUUAAAAAAGUUUUAUCCUGUCCUUCUCCUGAUACCCUGUUUCCCCUAAAAUAAGACAUCCCCAG
rnacentral:lncRNA from 11 species